rnacentral:rRNA from 1 species
CCAGAGAACUUAGCAGAGAUGCUUUGGUGCCUUCGGGGAACUCUGAGACAGGUGCUGCAUGGCUGUCGUCAGCUCGUGUUGUGAAAUGUUGGGUUAAGUCCCGCAACGAGCGCAACCCUUAUCCUUUGUUGCCAGCGGCUCGGCCGGGAACUCAAAGGAGACUGCCGGUGAUAAACCGGAGGAAGGUGGGGAUGACGUCAAGUCAUCAUGGCCCUUACGGCCAGGGCUACACACGUGCUACAAUGGCGCAUACAAAGAGAAGCGACCUCGCGAGAGCAAGCGGACCUCACAAAGUGCGUCGUAGUCCGGAUUGGAGUCUGCAACUCGACUCCAUGAAGUCGGAAUCGCUAGUAAUCGUAGAUCAGAAUGCUACGGUGAAUACGUUCCCGGGCCUUGUACACACCGCCCGUCACACCAUGGGAGUGGGUUGCAAAAGAAGUAGGUAGCUUAACCUUCGGGAGGGCGCUUACCACUUUGUGAUUCAUGACUGGGGUGAAGUCGUAACAAGGUAAGCGUAGCGAG